UUGCCCUCUUCCCUGCACUUGAAGUGUACUCAAGAGUGAAGGUUAUACUGCUAUCUCAGGGAGUGGGAGGCGACAAGGACUUUAGCCAGUGCAAACAGGAGUGACAAUAGAACCAUCACAUCUGGAUCAUCACAGGCCCUGGUGUGUGACAGGAGGAAGCAGAAAGAAAUUAGAGAGAAGAAAAACAGCGGGGAUGCUUUCACCCUUGAACUUCCAUCAAUGCCUGGGACCUUAUCACCCCUGCAAUAUCGUUCCACCCACAUAGCCCCUCUCUCCUACUGCUGAGUUCUUUUGGGGCCCUCCAUUUUGGAUGCAGACCUGGACCAGCCAUGCUUCAUUCACUUUCCAAAUGUGCUUCUGACUCUAACAAUAUGGUCUCUCCCCUCACAAUCCCACCUUGCACCACUCCC